rnacentral:lncRNA from 1 species
UAAUUGCCAUUCUGACUAGAGUGAGAUGAAAUCUCAAUGUAGUUUUGAUUUUCAUUUCCCUAAUUGAUAGAGAUAUUCAACAUUUUUUCAUAUACUUGUUGACCAUUUGUAUUUCUUCUUUUCAGAAGUUUCUGUUUAUUAAUUGGGUUAUUUGGUGGGGGGGUAUUCAAUUUUUUUGAGUUACUUGUAUAUUCUGGAUAUUAAUGCCCUGAGGAGCAGGUGGCCAAGAUUUUCUCCCAUUCUGUAGAUUCUCUCUUUCCAUCUUUGUUUCCUUGGCUGUGUAGAAGCUUUUUAAUUUAAAGCCAUCCCACUUAUUAAUUCUUGGUUUUAUUUUUUAUGCUUUAAGAGUCUUGUUAAUGAAGUUGUUGCCUGUGCCAAUAUGUUGAUGUGUUGAGCCCACAUUUUGCUCUAACAGUUGUAGUGUUUCUGGUCUAAUUCCUAGGUCUUUGGUCCACUUCAAAUUGUCUUUUGUGCAAGGUUAGAGAUAGGGAUCAAAUUUCAAUGUUGUACAUACAGAUAUC